AUGCGUCUCGUUGGCUCUCUGGCACCUCACAUCGGUAACCUCUCUUUCCUUUCCAUCCUUAACCUCACCCGCAACAAUCUGAUGGGCUCCAUUUCAGUGGAACUUGGUAGGUUACAUCGUCUUAGGUAUCUCGAUCUCAUGAGAAAUACGUUUUCUGACGCCAUACCUACUACCCUUGGGAACCUCACAAGGCUUGUGCGCCUUCGUCUAGGUUACAAUGAACUCUCGGGCCAGAUCCCUCCUGGGAUGUUGAUCCAUAUGCACAACCUUAAAGAAAUUGUCCUGCACCAAAAUGAAUUGAGUGGCCAAAUACCGUUGUAUUUGUUCAAUAAUACACCUUCUUUGGCAGUCAUCCAUCUUGGAAAUAUCAGCCUUUCAGGUCCAAUACCAAAUGCUGUUGCAUCCCUAUCCAUGCUUGAGAUCUUCAGUGUACAGCAUAAUCAACUCUCCGGUCUACUUCCACAAGCCAUGUUCAACAUGUCUAAGCUGCGAAUUAUGGCGUUCGAAGAAUGCGGUAACCUAACUGGAAUCAUUCCGAGCAAUCAAAGUUUUAGCCUCCCAAUGUUGCAAUUUUUUGCAAUAUCUGGGAACAAAUUUGAGGGUCGGUUUUCAAUAGGGUUAGCAUCAUGUCAAUACCUCCAGGAACUUGAUUUGAGUAGUAACUCCUUUGCGGAUGUUGUGCCAACAUGGUUAGCCAAAUUGUCACAACUAAAAAUGCUUAUCUUGGGUUCUAAUAACCUUACUGGCUUCAUCCCAGUUGCUCUUAGUAAUCUCACUAGUCUUAAUGCACUAGCACUUGACAACGGAAAUCUUAAAGGGGAGAUUCCACCUAAUUUAGGUCAUUUACAUGAACUCUGGUUUCUUAAUCUUGGGAGAAAUCAAUUGCUAGGUAAAAUUCCUGACUCCCUCGGCAACUUAUCGAAAUUAUCAAUCCUUGGUUUGUCUCAUAAUCAAUUAUCUGGCCAAGUACCAACAAAACUUGGAAAUAUUGUAGCUUUAAACAAGCUUCUAUUGCAAAAUAAUAAUUUAGAAGGAAAUCUAGACUUCUUGUUAGCUCUUUCCAAGUGUAGACAACUCCAAAUCCUUGAUAUGGGAUCUAAUUUUUUCACAGGUGUCCUCCCUAGCUAUGUCGGAAACCUCAGUACACAAUUAGACAUGUUCAUUGCACCCGAUAACAAGUUAAUAGGUGGACUUCCAUUAGCGAUUUCAAACCUAAGCAACAUUGGUCUAAUAGACCUUAGCCACAACCAAUUCACUGAGCCCAUUCCAGAAUCCAUCCUUAUGUUGGAAAAUCUUGUGUGA
rnacentral:rRNA from 1 species